rnacentral:rRNA from 1 species
AUUGAACGCUGGCGGCAUGCCUUACACAUGCAAGUCGAACGGCAGCACGGGGCAACCUGGUGGCGAGUGGCGAACGGGUGAGUAAUGCAUCGGAACGUACCUUUCAGUGGGGGAUAACGUAGCGAAAGUUACGCUAAUACCGCAUAUUCUGUGAGCAGGAAAGCAGGGGAUCGCAAGACCUUGCGCUGAUUGAGCGGCCGAUGUCAGAUUAGCUAGUUGGUGAGGUAAAGGCUCACCAAGGCGACGAUCUGUAGCGGGUCUGAGAGGAUGAUCCGCCAGACUGGAACUGAGAAACGGUCCAGACUCCUACGGGAGGCAGCAGUGGGGAAUUUUGGACAAUGGGGGCAACCCGGAUCCAGCCAUGCCGCGUGAGUGAAGAAGGCCUUCGGGUUGUAAAGCUCUUUCGGCCGGGAAGAAAUCGCACGGGCUAAUACCCUGUGUGGAUGACGGUACCGGAAUAAGAAGCACCGGCUAACUACGUGCCAGCCGCCGCAGUAACAC